CUUCCGGUUGAAAACCGGAUAAGAGACUCGUAGGUCGCCCGUUGCUGCUUCACAUUCAAGUUACAGUUAGAAUCAUUUUGCUUUUACAGGCAUUCUUUUUGCCACAUGGCCAAUGUCCAUCAUGUACAACUACUCAUCGUCACAGGACCCGUAAUUCCAGUAACCUCAUCUAUCCCCCACAGUCGUCAGAAUCUCAGAACUGGGCAGGUGGGCUCCGGAAUUGCCAAUCCACUGUGCACAAGACAGACUUUGUUUCAGCCCUCGCGUCCUUCUAUUUACUGCACUUCCUCGCAUUGAUGGAGACCUGGAUCACCCCCAUGAACUCGGCAACUCCAACAGCCCUGUCCUCUGCCUUUCACUUCUCCCAUUCUCCACAGCAGUCUAGCAGGGGUGGUGGCACAGGUUUGCUCUUGUCCAGGACGUGACGUUUCACUCCUCCACUUGCUUUUUCUCAUCUUUCAAUUUCUUCCUUUGAGUACCAUGUAGUCAAUGUAUCUUUCCCCACUAAACUUCACAUUGUUUUUUUAUCGUCCUCCCUCUCCUCUAGGCUACUUCAUUGAUGAGUUAGACACUCUACUGAGUCUCUUCUCUAUCUUCUCCAUGAAACCCCACUCAUACUUUUGGGUGACUUCAACCUGCCAUCAGACAAGCUGCAGUCAUCCUGCCUGUUACCACUGCUAUCAUCCUUCAACCUCGCCCUCAACUAGACUCCUCUGACACACAGAGCAGGCAAUGCUUUGGACCUGAUAUUCACCAGACCUACCUCCGCGCUGGAUGUGACAUUAACUCCCAUGCAUCGCUCUAAUCACCACUUCCUAUCUUUCUCACUCCUCCUCCCUGUUACUCCUGUCCAUUCCACCCCUUUGUGCUCCUCUUCUUGGUGCAAUUUACACUCCACUCCUUCCUCAUAUUUCACCUCAACUAUCCUGACCACCCUUCCCCAUCCUGACUAAUUUCCCUCUCUCUCACUGAACAAGGCUACAGAUGCUUUCCUUUCUUCACUCUCAUCUGCAGUUAACUUUGUGUCCCCUUUCCUCCAGGCCUGCAAGAUCUUCCUCACCUGCCCCCUGGCUGAUUGGUGUCCUGCGCAGCAACCAACGAGAACUUAGGAAGGCUGAGAAAAGGUGGGGAAAUCCCAGCUCAACUUGGGUCUUUACUCCUACCAAUCUCUCCUUUCCAAGUUCUCACUCGAAGUUACUACUACAAAGUCAUCUUUCUACAGAGGGAAACUCGAAGCAUCAGCAUCUGAUCCACGUGUGUUCUUUGAGGAGAAGAUGCUAUCCUUCAACUGAUCAAAUCCAGUAACCCAACCCACCUGCCCACUGGAUGCCAUCCCAUCUGCAUCUUUUCAGUCACAUUGUAUUGCACUGUGUAUUGUAGUUCACUGUAUUGUAUUGCAUUGUACGGCACAGAGUUCCGUGUUCAACUCUUCCUUUUUUCUGGGUAUCUAGAGCCUUUUGUUUCUAGCAGUACCUGAGCUCAGGACUGUCUUUUUCUAUUUAUAACUAGCAAAUAUUUAUAACCUAUUUAUAACUAGCAAAUAUACUGUCUCUAGAUAGACAAAGUACUUCUUGUAAAUUUCUCUGGAUAAGAGUGUCUGCUAAAUGCUGUAAAUGUAGUUUGUAUCAUUUGUAUACCUAUGAAAAUUGUCAGCCUCUAUUAAGUCCUAAUGGAGUUGUGGGAUAUUUUAAAAGACCAACACUGCAAGCCAAACUUAACUAGUGGCUGUCUGGGGCAUGAAACCCAUGGACUGAAAUGAUCUGUGAAGCUAAGUAAGGCUGGUCCAGGUCAGUGAUUGGAUGGGAGGCUGUGCUGGCUUGUCUAUAGCUCAAGCUUUCAAACAAACUUUUAUUUUGAAACUAAUCAGUGAUUAGUGAUACAGUGAAAAGUUCAUAAUGUGGUAAUAAGCAGAAAGUCUAAGACAGUUAAUAGGAAGUCUGCAUGUAAUUGAUCAUAUAUUGCUUUGAAUUACUUUAGAAAAACUGUAUCGGCCUCCAGUUUCAUCCAGUGUAUCCAAACCUAUAAGACCCAUGGUCUGGUCUUUUGUUAGAAACUAAGCAAUGUGGGACUUGGUCAGGGCAUGUACUGAAACUAACUGACAUAAGAAGUUGCAGUCAGGCUAUGAACCUAACAUUGACUUUGAAAUAAAAGUUUGAAUUAAAAUGAAGAA